UAGGGAGUCCGGAGACGUCGGCG
rnacentral:siRNA from 1 species